rnacentral:rRNA from 1 species
AUUGAACGCUGGCGGCAUGCCUUACACAUGCAAGUCGAACGGCAGCACGGGUGCUUGCACCUGGUGGCGAGUGGCGAACGGGUGAGUAAUACAUCGGAACGUACCUUAUCGUGGGGGAUAACGCAGCGAAAGCUGUGCUAAUACCGCAUACGCCCUGAGGGGGAAAGCGGGGGAUCGCAAGACCUCGCGCGAUUAGAGCGGCCGAUGCCUGAUUAGCUUGUUGGUGGGGUAAAAGCCCACCAAGGCGAUGAUCAGUAGCUGGUCUGAGAGGACGAUCAGCCACACUGGGACUGAGACACGGCCCAGACUCCUACGGGAGGCAGCAGUGGGGAAUUUUGGACAAUGGGGGCAACCCUGAUCCAGCAAUGCCGCGUGAGUGAAGAAGGCCUUCGGGUUGUAAAGCUCUUUUGUCAGGGAAGAAAGACCGGCUCUAACACAGUCUGGGAAUGACGGUACCUGAAGAAUAAGCACCGGCUAACUACGUGCCAGCCGCCGCGGUAA